GGUAACUGAAUUUAGUAAAAUUUGAGUAAAUCUCGUGACAUAUAUGAAACAAAUCGAAGUCACUUGGAUGUUGUUAAUUUGUUGAAAGAAUUUCUCCGUCCUUUGUGGUGAUGAUGAGUUAACAACUACGUACGAUGCUUUUGUUUAUCUUACAGCUAGCUGAGUAGUUAGAGUUUAAGUUCCGUUUUGCAUAAGCCUAAUUUUGGAACAUCUGAACGGGUGACUAAAAAGCACACUUAGUGUGGUAUGAGUGAGUCAGUGCUUGGUUUCUCUCUCACUCACAUGGGCUCGCUAUAUAUAUGAAGGUAUGUGCGGGUUAGGGUUUUGAAGAGUGUUGUGUUGAGAUGGGUUGGUAUUGAGGGGAAUGUUGGCUGGCUCGAGGCUUUUCACAAAUGAGGUUCACAGUGGAUGGAACUAUAAGGCUUCGGACCAGGCUUCAUUCCCCUCAAAAGUUCUUCCUUUCAUUUGUUUCUACUUCAAACUUCAAACACAAGAUCAUGUGUGUUGUGUGUGGUUGAGAACUUGACAUGCUUCUUCUUCCUAGCUUGCAAAGGUGAGGUUGAGAGGAAUGUUGUCUGGCUCGAGGUCAUGGAGGAGGAGGAGGAGUAGAGUACUGAGAUCAGUGAAAGUUUCCAAUGGAAAUUUACCCUCUUACACAAAAAAAUGAUUCUCGGACCAGGCUUCAUUCCCCCCACCCAACUUUUGCUUUUUCCUUAAUUUAAAUUUCUUUCUCUCCAUUUUCAUAUCUCGCAUGCCCUUAUGGUAAGGCUUUCUCUUCCUUUCAUCUUUCUCUCAAUCUGCACAAAAAAAAAAAAAAUGCUCUUUCACAGUUUGUUUUUGCAGGCUCAGAAUUUUCAACUCAGUGGUGGCAAUCUUGUUUUGUAAAGGUUGUAUUUUCGUUACCUUCUUUUUUAUUACGAGUGAAUAUGCUACCUUCUCCCAAAUCCCAAGCUACAACUUACUUUAGUGAUGGAUGAACCAAUUUCUUUACAUAUAUGUGUGGCUAAAAUAGAGAAAAAAAAAGUUUGAGCUGUUUGCAUCUGCUCAGAUUAUGUAACUAUAUAUGCUCAAGUCUCCCAUGUAUAGAUUUAGUUUUCAUCAUUAAUUUGAAGGCAUUUGUAUGAAGAAUUAGUCCAUGCUUGAAAAUAUGUUAAUUUUAGAAAACAAUCAUAUAUUUUUAAACAAAUGGUUAUCUUUUCAAAAUGACUUCUUGUUUGUGUUUCCCUAUUUUUCUCUCUCAUACACCCACUCAAGAGAGAGAGAGAAGCAUUUUUACCACAGCAAAUCUGUCUAGUUUUCUGGUAUAGUAUUAAUUUAAGAUUAACAUUUCAGAGAGAUAAGAUACUACCUAUGAAAAUAUUAUUAACAAAUAAGUUGGCUAAUCACAGGCCCUCAGACCUGCGGGAAUGUUUAUUUCACGUGGACAAGAAAGCUGAAGUGAAUGAAAGCAUCAACAGUGAAAACCUAUUAUAUCAUAUGUGAAAUUCUUUUCUUUAUCUGCAACUAGCUGCUAUGCCUCUUAGGUCUUUCUAGCAUAACUUUCCUCUUCUAAAGUCCUUUCAGCUUUGAAUAUUAUUGCUUCAGCUUUCUGUCAAUAAACCUGUUUUCUGGCCGGUGAAAAUUUUAGGGAAGCCAACUUCAUAAUUUUACUUGGGGAAAAGGCUUGCCAUCAUUUUCGUCAACAUCUGAAUGAAUGUACUUCAGUGAAAUGACAGUGAUGAGUGUUGAAGGCAUGCACUCACUAGCUGCUGAAGUUGCUGAUGCAUAUACAUGUGAAAGACUAAUGAAUGAAAGAAGAGAAGAGAAGAGAUGUGCAAGAACAGUUAACGAGUAGUGAGAAUCAGGAGAAGCUACAGCUAGGGAUUCUAUGUGUCUGUGUCUGUCACUAGCUAGAGAAACGGAUACUAUAACAUGAUUAUGAUCUAUGACCACACCAUGUCAUUGCCAGCUUCCAUUAUCAUGACGAACUCAGAUGUGUGUAUCUAGCUGCAUGCAUAACUAAGCUGAUGCAAACUACACCUGGAAAAAGGAGAAAGAGGAAAUAGAGCUUCUCUUCUCUUCUCUUCUAUUAUUAUUUUGUGUCUGAUGUGUGUGUUUUAGUGUAAUGUAUUUAUGGAGCUUCUAAAGUUGUUGAAAAUGCAGAAACCAACUCAGGAAAAGCUUGGAUCAGCAAUAUCAGCUUCAUAUGCUACCUUUUCGUGGAGUCAUAGUAUGUAGUAAUAGUGAGAUGAGAUCUUUUAGCAUUUCAAAUUGCAUUAUGGGGGGAGAGAGAGAGAGUAAAUAAAUGUAGAGUAUCUGGUUUUUCUUGGGAAAUGAAACUGAGAGAAAGACACGGCUACUCGGACAUCGUUUCAUGACAAACUUGGUCUCUUUAAAGAAGUGAAACAAUUGCACUCCUUUAUUGUUGACAGCUUCAUCAUGAAUUUAUUAUCUUUUGAGCUA